UCCACUUAAAUGUAGAGGUAAUUCAGGUUGUAAAACAAUAAAAACAGAAGAUUAGCAUGGCCCCUCUGCGUAAGGAUGACACAGGAAUUUGUGAAGUGUUCCAUAUUUUU